rnacentral:rRNA from 1 species
CUAUACAUGCAGUCGAGCGAACAGACGAGGAGCUUGCUCCUCUGACGUUAGCGGCGGACGGGUGAGUAACACGUGGAUAACCUACCUAUAAGACUGGGAUAACUUCGGGAAACCGGAGCUAAUACCGGAUAAUAUAUUGAACCGCAUGGUUCAAUAGUGAAAGACGGUUUUGCUGUCACUUAUAGAUGGAUCCGCGCCGCAUUAGCUAGUUGGUAAGGUAACGGCUUACCAAGGCAACGAUGCGUAGCCGACCUGAGAGGGUGAUCGGCCACACUGGAACUGAGACACGGUCCAGACUCCUACGGGAGGCAGCAGUAGGGAAUCUUCCGCAAUGGGCGAAAGCCUGACGGAGCAACGCCGCGUGAGUGAUGAAGGUCUUCGGAUCGUAAAACUCUGUUAUUAGGGAAGAACAAAUGUGUAAGUAACUAUGCACGUCUUGACGGUACCUAAUCAGAAAGCCACGGCUAACUACGUGCCAGCAGCCGCGGUAAUACGUAGGUGGCAAGCGUUAUCCGGAAUUAUUGGGCGUAAAGCGCGCGUAGGCGGUUUUUUAAGUCUGAUGUGAAAGCCCACGGCUCAACCGUGGAGGGUCAUUGGAAACUGGAAAACUUGAGUGCAGAAGAGGAAAGUGGAAUUCCAUGUGUAGCGGUGAAAUGCGCAGAGAUAUGGAGGAACACCAGUGGCGAAGGCGACUUUCUGGUCUGUAACUGACGCUGAUGUGCGAAAGCGUGGGGAUCAAACAGGAUUAGAUACCCUGGUAGUCCACGCCGUAAACGAUGAGUGCUAAGUGUUAAGGGGGUUUCCGCCCCUUAGUGCUGCAGCUAACGCAUUAAGCACUCCGCCUGGGGAGUACGACCGCAAGGUUGAAACUCAAAGGAAUUGACGGGGACCCGCACAAGCGGUGGAGCAUGUGGUUUAAUUCGAAGCAACGCGAAGAACCUUACCAAAUCUUGACAUCCUCUGACCCUCUAGAGAUAGAGUUUUCCCCUUCGGGGGACAGAAUGACAGGUGGUGCAUGGUUGUCCUCACCUCCUGUCCUGAGAAGUUUGGGUUAGAUCCCGCACCAACGCACCCUUAACUUAUUGCCAUCAUUAAAUUGGGACUCUAAUUUACUGCCGUGACAACCCAGAAAGAGGGGGGG